rnacentral:rRNA from 1 species
UACGGAGGGUGCUAGCGUUGUUCGGAAUCACUGGGCGUAAAGGGCGUGUAGGCGGUCUGUUAAGUCUGAUGUGAAAUCCCCUCGCUCAACGAGGGAACUGCGUCGGAUACUGGCAGACUCGAGUACCGGAGAGGAAGGUGGAAUUCCCGGUGUAGCGGUGAAAUGCGCAGAUAUCAGGAGGAACACCGGUGGCGAAGGCGGGUCUCUGGGGCCGAUACUGACGCUGAGGAGCGAAAAGCGUGGGGGAGCGAACAGG